rnacentral:rRNA from 1 species
UACGUAGGUGGCAAGCGUUUGUCCGGAUUUACUGGGCGUAAAGAGCGCGCAGGCGGUCGUUCAAGUCGCGUGUGAAAGCCCCCCGGCUCAACUGGGGGAGGGUCACGCGAUACUGAUCGACUCGAAGGCAGGAGAGGGUAGUGGAAUUCCCCGGUGUAGUGGUGAAAUGCGUAGAUAUCGGGAGGAACACCAGUGGCGAAGGCGACUACCUGGCCUGUUUCUUGACGCUGAGGCGCGAAAGCUAGGGGAGCAAACGGGG